CUCUUAUCAAGAGAGGUGGAGGGAAAGGGCCCUGUGAAACCCGGCAACCUGUAUUAAACAAGGUGCCAAUUCCGUAGAUGUAUUUCUACAAGAUAAGAA
rnacentral:ncRNA from 1 species